rnacentral:rRNA from 1 species
GAACCUCCUUCGGGAGGGGAUUAGUGGCGAACGGGUGAGUAACACGUGGGCAAUCUGCCCUGCACUCUGGGACAAGCCCUGGAAACGGGGUCUAAUACCGGAUACUGACCCGCUUGGGCAUCCAAGCGGUUCGAAAGCUCCGGCGGUGCAGGAUGAGCCCGCGGCCUAUCAGCUUGUUGGUGAGGUAAUGGCUCACCAAGGCGACGACGGGUAGCCGGCCUGAGAGGGCGACCGGCCACACUGGGACUGAGACACGGCCCAGACUCCUACGGGAGGCAGCAGUGGGGAAUAUUGCACAAUGGGCGAAAGCCUGAUGCAGCGACGCCGCGUGAGGGAUGACGGCCUUCGGGUUGUAAACCUCUUUCAGCAGGGAAGAAGCGAAAGUGACGGUACCUGCAGAAGAAGCGCCGGCUAACUACGUGCCAGCAGCCGCGGUAAUACGUAGGGCGCGAGCGUUGUCCGGAAUUAUUGGGCGUAAAGAGCUCGUAGGCGGCUUGUCACGUCGGUUGUGAAAGCCCGGGGCUUAACCCCGGGUCUGCAGUCGAUACGGGCAGGCUAGAGUUCGGUAGGGGAGAUCGGAAUUCCUGGUGUAGCGGUGAAAUGCGCAGAUAUCAGGAGGAACACCGGUGGCGAAGGCGGAUCUCUGGGCCGAUACUGACGCUGAGGAGCGAAAGCGUG